rnacentral:rRNA from 1 species
AUGACACGCGCAUCACGUGUUCUGAACGUCCAUGUAAGUGGUGCCUUCGGCGUCCCUAUUCUUCCGACGCGCGCAUCACUUGUUCCCGCCCCGACAAUGUUCGCGGUGCCCUGGCGGAGCGGGAGCGCGAGGCCAGGUCCAUGCCUCCAGCUCCAUGGCACCUCACCAACGUCGAUGACAGUUUCAGUUAUGUGUUGGGAGCGUUGUAUGCACAUGUCCGCAUGCCGCCGUCCGUGUCGACUGUCGAGGCAGCAUCGUAGGCGCCGGUCAGAUGGCGUACGGCGACGGCGAGUCAAGGGGCGUCAACAUCGUCAAGCCCGGACCAUGACUCAACCCAGGAGCAUGAUGUCUUGCUGA